rnacentral:rRNA from 1 species
UACGAAGGGUGCAAACGUUGCUCGGAAUUAUUGGGCGUAAAGCGCACGUAGGCGGCUUGGCAAGUCGGAUGUGAAAUCCCUCGGCUCAACCAAGGAAGUGCAUCCGAAACUGCUGAGCUUGAGUACUUAAGAGGAUCGCGGAAUUCCCGGUGUAGAGGUGAAAUUCGUAGAUAUCGGGAGGAACACCAGUGGCGAAGGCGGGUCUUUUAGGCCGAUACUGACGCUGAGGAGCGAAAGCGUGGGGAGCGAACAGG